rnacentral:rRNA from 1 species
AGAGUUUGAUCCUGGCUCAGAAUGAAACCUGGCGGUGUGCCUAACACAUGCAAGUCAAACGACAAUUUAUUUGGAGUGGCGGACGGGUGAGUAACACGUAAGAACCUACCUUUAGGAGGGGGAUACCAUCCCGGGAAACUGGUGCUAAUACCCCAUAUGCUGAGAAGUGAAAUGGUAUUUAACCGCCUAGAGAGGGGCUUGCGGCUGAUUAGCUAGUUGGUGGGGUAAUGGCCUCCCAAGGCGACGAUCAGUAGCUGGUUUGAGAGGAUGAUCAGCCACACUGGGACUGAGACACGGCCCAGACUCCUACGGGAGGCAGCAGUGAGGAAUUUUCCGCAAUGGGCGAAAGCCUGACGGAGCAAUACCGCGUGGAGGAAAAAGAAGACCUGUGGGUUGUAAACUCCUUUUCUCAGAGAAGAAUACUGACGGUAUCUGAGGAAUAAGCACCGGCUAACUAUGUGCCAGCAGCCGCGGUAAUACAUGGGGUGCGAGGUUUAUUCGGAAUGAUUGGGCGUAAAGCGUUCGUAGGUGGUUUCACGAAGUCCACUGUCAAAGAUCAGGGCUUAACCUUGGGCAGGCAGUGGAAACUCGGAAACUCGAGUCAGGUGGGGGCUGAAGGAAUCAACAGCGUAACAGUGAAAUGUGUAGAUAUUGUUGAGAACACCGAUGGAGAAAUCAUUCA